UUGAAAUCUGGCUCCUUCGGGGCCCGAGUUGUAAUUUGUAGAGGAUGCUUCGGGCGUGGCCGCGGUCUAAGUCCCCUGGAACGGGGCGUCGCAGAGGGUGAGAAUCCCGUCUUCGGCCGGCCGGCCCCGCCCGUGUGAAGCUCCUUCGACGAGUCGAGUUGUUUGGGAAUGCAGCUCUAAAUGGGUGGUAAAUUUCAUCUAAAGCUAAAUACUGGUCGGAGACCGAUAGCGCACAAGUAGAGUGAUCGAAAGAUGAAAAGCACUUUGAAAAGAGAGUUAAACAGCAUGUGAAAUUGUUGAAAGGGAAGCGCUUGCGACCAGAGUCGGCCGCGGGGGCUCAGCGGGCACUCGUUGCCCGUGCACUCCCCCGUGGUCGGGCCAGCGUCGGUUUCGACGGCCGGUCAAAGGCCCCCGGAAUGUGUCGCCUCUCGGGGCGUCUUAUAGCCGGGGGUGCAAUGCGGCCAGUCGGGACCGAGGAACGCGCUCCGGCACGGACGCUGGCUUAAUGGUCGUAAGCGACCCGUCUUGAAACACGGACCAAGGAGUCUAACAUCCACGCGAGUGUUCGGGUGUCAAACCCGUCCGCGCAGUGAAAGCGAACGGAGGUGGGAACCCUCAAGGGUGCACCAUCGACCGAUCCUG
rnacentral:rRNA from 1 species